UAGUUGGUGGGGUAAAGGCCUACCAAGGCGACGAUCAGUAGCGGGUCUGAGAGGAUGAUCCGCCACACUGGAACUGAGACACGGUCCAGACUCCUACGGGAGGCAGCAGUGGGGAAUUUUGGACAAUGGGGGCAACCCUGAUCCAGCCAUUCCGCGUGAGUGAAGAAGGCCUUCGGGUUGUAAAGCUCUUUCAGCUGGAACGAAACGGUGCAUCCUAAUACGGUGUGCUAAUGACGGUACCAGCAGAAGAAGCACCGGCUAACUACGUGCCAGCAGCCGCGGUAAUACGUAGGGUGCGAGCGUUAAUCGGAAUUACUGGGCGUAAAGCGUGCGCAGGCGGAUUGUUAAGCAAGAUGUGAAAUCCCCGGGCUUAACCUGGGAAUGGCAUUUUGAACUGGCAGUCUAGAGUGUGUCAGAGGGGGGUGGAAUUCCACGUGUAGCAGUGAAAUGCGUAGAGAUGUGGAGGAACACCAAUGGCGAAGGCAGCCCCCUGGGAUAACACUGACGCUCAUGUACGAAAGCGUGGGUAGCAAACAGGAUUAGAUACCCUGGUAGUCCACGCCCUAAACGAUGUCAACUGGUUGUUGGGGGAGUGAAAUCCCUUAGUAACGAAGCUAACGCGUGAAGUUGACCGCCUGGGGAGUACGGUCGCAAGAUUAAAACUCAAAGGAAUUGACGGGGACCCGCACAAGCGGUGGAUGAUGUGGAUUAAUUCGAUGCAACGCGAAAAACCUUACCUACCCUUGACAUGUCCAGAACCCUGCAGAGAUGCGGGGGUGCCCGAAAGGGAAUUGGAACACAGGUGCUGCAUGGCUGUCGUCAGCUCGUGUCGUGAGAUGUUGGGUUAAGUCCCGCAACGAGCGCAACCCUUAUCAUUAGUUGCUACGCAAGGGCACUCUAAUGAGACUGCCGG
rnacentral:rRNA from 1 species